rnacentral:rRNA from 1 species
UACGGGGGGGGCAAGCGUUGUUCGGAAUUACUGGGCGUAAAGGGCUCGUAGGCGGCCAACUAAGUCAGACGUGAAAUCCCCAGGCUCAACCUGGGAACUGCGUCUGAUACUGGAUGGUUUGAAUCCGGGAGAGGGAUGCAGAAUUCCAGGUGUAGCGGUGAAAUGCGUAGAUAUCUGGAGGAAUACCGGUGGCGAAGGCGGCAUCCUGGACCGGCAUUGACGCUGAGGCGCGAAAGCGUGGGGAGCAAACAGG